rnacentral:tRNA from 1 species
GGGCUCUUGGCACAGUUGGUAGCGCGCACGCUUCGCAGGAGGUCUGCCCCCAAGCCCAUGCGUGAGGUCGUGGGUUCAACUCCCACAGUGUCCA